rnacentral:rRNA from 1 species
GAUAAACGCUGGCGGCGUGCCUAAAACAUGCAAGUCGAACGGUUCCAUGCUUUCGGGUGUGGGACAGUGGCGGACGGCUGAGUAACACGUGGGUGACCUGCCUUCGAACGGGGGAUAACUGCCCGAAAGGGUGGCUAAUACCGCAGACAUCAUGGGUUCGUUCUCAUGAUUGAACCGUUUAGGGUUCGGAGAGGGGCCCGCGGCCGAUUAGCUCGCUGGUGGGGUAACGGCCUACCAGGGCAUCGAUCGGAGCUGGUCUGAGAGGAUGAUCAGCCAGACUGGGACUGCGAACGGCCCAGACUCCUACGGGAGGCAGCAGUUAGGAAGUUUUGGGCAAUGGGCGAAAGCCUGACCCAGCAACGCCGCGUGGGUGAUGAA